rnacentral:lncRNA from 10 species
GUGAUUAGAGGUCUCUUAGAGACUGGCACACUAGGCAGCCACCUGGUUGGCCUCCCCUUCAUUCAGUCAGCUCUGCCAUUCAGCUUUCUUCCAGCCUCUGCACAUUACCUGUCCUAGUUCUUGUUUUAUUGUACUGCCACUCAACUUUUCUGAAUCUCCCACUUGGCUGUGUCUCUGUACCUGCUAAAUCAACACAGUUCCUGGCAUACAGGUGCAUUUCAGUGCAUGCUGGUGAGACAGCGAAGGGCUUGAAACAGUCCACAAAAGUUGAUGCAGGAGAGCAGUACAAUCCUUUCUGGAGUGGGACUCAGAGAAAGAUCAUGCAUGUUGAAGUCAUUCCAGCAGCAGUCCAGGGGAGUUGGGGCAGGUAAGAUGGGAUAAGUGCACUCCAACCAUCAUUUCUGUUGGUCAUAACUCCAGGAGAGAAAGUUUAGAACAGCUAUUUGAGGACGGUGAAAAGAAAACAGCAGAAGGAAUAUUGGUGAAGAACACAGAAUUUGAAGUACAUCAAACCAGUAGGCUCACUUCCAAGCCAUACAUGUUUGGAUCUGGUUUUAAUGAGGAUACCAAGACCUUUGAGAACUGAAGUAAUAGAGAGGUCAUCACCUGGUUCCUAGACUGGCUUCUGGGUGGUGCACACCUGAAAUGGAGACAAAAAGCAGUUUGAAAACUGAGUGGAUGUUGACAUCACAGCGCACAGAAGAAAUAAUGUCUCGCUAUGUUGCCCAGGCUGGACUUCAACUUCUUGGCUCAAGUGAUCCUCCCACCUCAGUCUCUCGAAUAGCUGGGACUAUAGGCAUGGGCCAUUGUGCCCAGUUCAGAGGAACCUUUUCAGAGAGGAUGGUCAGGACAGCCUCUUUGAGCAGGUAAUUUUGGGGUUGAAUGAGCUGACAGGUCCAGCCGUGCUUUUGGGAGGGAGAGUGAGCCGGGCAGAGGGAACAGUGGUGCGAAGGCUCUGACUUAGGAGUGAGUUUUGUGUUUUGAAGGAAUAGCAAAGAAUGCAGUGAGGCUGGAGUGAAGUGAGUGAAGAGGGCAGUGAUGAGAUGAAGUUAGAGAGGUGGGGGUGAUGAUGAGGCUGUCUGGGGGAGGUCUGUCCAGUGUGGGCCUUGGGGAUGGUGGGGAGUCCAGGGCAGGUGCAUUCUCAUCUGGGACCCCCUGAUCCUAGUUCUGUGGGAAGAUAUAGAUCAGAGCAGGAGACAGACACAAACAGAUCAUUUUACUAUCUGGUGAGAGAUGUUUUUGGAACCUAGAACACAGGGGAAAUUAGUGAGGCAACGAUUUUCUCUCUUUCUGCUUGACUUAUGCUUUAUUUAUCUUCAGGACUAGCCAUAAUUUGAAGAUGCUGGAAAAAAAUAUUCACAGUCUCUGGAAAUCUAGCAAAGUGAUCAGGAUUCUUUCCUUUGGCACUUCAAAGCAGAGUCAACAAAAAAAGCUGGGGGCGUUUUUUUGUGGUUAUAUGUUAAAAGUAAGAAUGAACUUAUACUGUCUUUCUUCCAUUUUUCUUUCCUUAUACCUGGGUUUGGCUGAGCCUGAGAGCAAAGAUUGCCAUUUGGGUUCAGUAGGUUGCUGACAAAUUAAGUAAAGAUUCCCUCAUUUGUGGGUCAGAUGUCUUACAGCCUGGUUUUGGUGAAGCAAAUCUUGGGAGAGUGAAUCUUGUCCACCCUCUGGCUGCUGGCCACAUGGAGAUGUUAGUAAUUGCGGGUCAGGGCAGGUCAGAUCUCCUAAGCCAAAGGUCCAGAGGUAUCAGCGAAUGCAGGGACUACCAGGCAAUUCUUCAUGUCUCAGCCUGGCAAGGAGUUAAUUCCAGAGAAAGCUGCAGGUUCCGUCACUAAUUCAUUGUGUGAUCUUGGGCAAGUUUAUUAUUUGUAAAAUGGGAGUGGAGGUAGGGUAGGGUGUGGGCUGAGCCAGAGUGAUAGCCAUUGCUCUCUUCAGCUUUUAAAUUCCAGUGGGUCAACAAAAAGGAAGCUUCUGAGCAACCUUAAUUGGCAGAGCUGAGGACACAAACAGCAGGAAUAGCUGUAGAGGGAUAUGGCCUGGGUGGAGUUCCUGCAAGCCCAAGGGAUUCCAGGACAGCUAGCAGGAAAAGAAUGGUUAGCGAGG